UGGGGAAUUUUGGACAAUGGGCGAAAGCCUGAUCCAGCAAUGCCGCGUGUGUGAAGAAGGCCUUCGGGUUGUAAAGCACUUUUGUCCGGAAAGAAAUCCUUGGCUCUAAUACAGUCGGGGGAUGACGGUACCGGAAGAAUAAGCACCGGCUAACUACGUGCCAGCAGCCGCGGUAAUACGUAGGGUGCAAGCGUUAAUCGGAAUUACUGGGCGUAAAGCGUGCGCAGGCGGUUUGCUAAGACCGAUGUGAAAUCCCCGGGCUCAACCUGGGAACUGCAUUGGUGACUGGCAGGCUAGAGUAUGGCAGAGGGGGGUAGAAUUCCACGUGUAGCAGUGAAAUGCGUAGAGAUGUGGAGGAAUACCGAUGGCGAAGGCAGCCCCCUGGGCCAAUACUGACGCUCAUGCACGAAAGCGUGGGGAGCAAACAGGAUUAGAUACCCUGGUAGUCCACGCCCUAAACGAUGUCAACUAGUUGUUGGGGAUUCAUUUCCUAGUAACGUAGCUAACGCGUGAAGUUGACCGCCUGGGGAGUACGGUCGCAAGAUUAAAACUUAAAUGAAUUGACGGGGUCAU
rnacentral:rRNA from 1 species